rfam:Synechococcus sp. PCC 6312, complete genome.
GUCAGCACCCCGCACUGAAGUAAUGGGGCUUCAUGCCUCUAGCUUCAGUUAGUUGACCAGCCUAAGUCUUGACUGACUACGUUUUUAAGGUCAUGACACCUACAAAUGCUUUCCAGUUUGUAGCUCUGUCGUUAGCGAUUAAACAGCCUUACGAGGGGUAAAGCAGUGUCGUUAGCCAAACAAGCCUUAAAAACAUUGGCGAGGAACACAUUAC